rnacentral:rRNA from 1 species
UACGUAGGGGGCAAGCGUUGUCCGGAUUUAUUGGGCGUAAAGAGCGUGUAGGCGGCCGUACAGGUCAGCUGUGAAAACUCGAGGCUCAACCUCGAGACGUCGGUUGAAACCGUACGGCUAGAGUCCGGAAGAGGAGAGUGGAAUUCCCGGUGUAGCGGUGAAAUGCGCAGAUAUCGGGAAGAACACCCGUGGCGAAAGCGGCUCCCUGGGACGGUACUGACGCUGAGACGCGAAAGCGUGGGGAGCAAACAGG